rnacentral:lncRNA from 1 species
UGAUAAUUCUAUUCCUAUCUUUUUUCAGCUGUCAUCCAAAUAGCUUUAACCCUAGAGUUUAACAAAGAGCCUUUAACCUAACAAAAUACAGGUUAAACAGGAGGAGCAAUUCAUCAUGAAGGAAUGUUAAGUGCAAAGCUACAUAGCCAAAAUGGCAAAUGUGGACUCGGUACUAAGAGACUUCUGGUUGUGUUUUCUAGAAUGGCAGGACUUCAUCUGGACCAUUUACUCCUCUAUUCAUCAUUCUGUGCUAUGUUCUCAGAGCAUCUGCUUCAGCAUCCUUCACUAGUCACAGCCGACCUGGUGUCGAUUUGCAUCUGUAAGGACUGUUUCUGGCACAGACAAAGAACAGAAGGACACAGAAAGUAG